rnacentral:rRNA from 1 species
UACGGAGGGAGCUAGCGUUAUUCGGAAUUACUGGGCGUAAAGCGCACGUAGGCGGCUUUGUAAGUUAGAGGUGAAAGCCUGGAGCUCAACUCCAGAAUUGCCUUUAAGACUGCAUCGCUUGAAUCCAGGAGAGGUGAGUGGAAUUCCGAGUGUAGAGGUGAAAUUCGUAGAUAUUCGGAAGAACACCAGUGGCGAAGGCGGCUCACUGGACUGGUAUUGACGCGUGGAGGUGACGAAAGCGGUGGGGAGCAAACAGGG